rnacentral:rRNA from 1 species
CAGUAGCCGCGGUAAUACGUAGGUGGCAAGCGUUGUCCGGAAUUACUGGGCGUAAAGCGUGCGCAGGCGGCUUUGCAAGACAGAUGUGAAAUCCCCGGGCUCAACCUGGGAACUGCAUUUGUGACUGCAAGGCUAGAGUGCGGCAGAGGGAGAUGGAAUUCCGCGUGUAGCAGUGAAAUGCGUAGAUAUGCGGAGGAACACCGAUGGCGAAGGCAAUCUCCUGGGCCUGCACUGACGCUCAUGCACGAAAGCGUGUGGAGCAAACAGGAUUAGAUACCCCUGUAGUCCCUGUCUCUUAUAC